rnacentral:rRNA from 1 species
UACGUAGGGAGCAAGCGUUGUCCGGAAUCAUUGGGCGUAAAGCGCGCGUAGGCGGCCUCAUAAGUCCGUUGUGAAAGUCAAAGGCUCAACCUUUGAAAGCCGAUGGAUACUGUGAGGCUAGAGUCCGGAAGAGGCGAGUGGAAUUCCUGGUGUAGCGGUGGAAUGCGCAGAUAUCAGGAGGAACACCAAUAGCGAAGGCAGCUCGCUGGGACGUUACUGACACUGAGGCGCGAAAGCGUGGGGAGCGAACAGG